GAGUCAAAUGCUUGCUCUCAUAAGGACAAGGCGUGAUGAGGAGCGAAAUUAAAGUAGCGAAGGCUGCGACGUCACACUGCCGAGAAAAGCUUCUAGCCAGAGACGGUGCACCCGUACCGCAAACCGACACAGGUAGUCGAGGAGAGUAUCCUCAGGUGAGCGAGAGAACUCUCGUUAAGGAACUCGGCAAAAUGGCCCCGUAACUUCGGGAGAAGGGGCGCUGGUCGCAAGAUCAGCCGCAGUGAAAAGGCCCAAGCAACUGUUUAUCAAAAACACAGGCAUCUGCAAAAUCGUAAGAUGAAGUAUAGGUGCUGACACCUGCCCGGUGCUGGAAGGUUAAGAGGAGAGCUUAGCGCAAGCGAAGGUUUGAAUUGAAGCCCCAGUAAACGGCGGCCGUAACUAUAACGGUCCUAAGGUAGCGAAAUUCCUUGUCGGGUAAGUUCCGACCUGCACGAAAGGUGUAAUGAUUUGGGCACUGUCUCAACGAGAGACUCGGUGAAAUUAUAAUACCCGUGAAGAUGCGGGUUACCCGCGACAGGACGGAAAGACCCCAUGGAGCUUUACUGCAGUUUAAUAUUGGGUAUCUGUCAAGCAUGUACAGGAUAGGUAGGAGCCGGAGAAGAUAGGACGCCAGUCUUAUC
rnacentral:rRNA from 1 species